rnacentral:rRNA from 1 species
UACGGAGGGUGCAAGCGUUAUCCGGAUUUACUGGGCGUACAGGGAGCGUAGGCGGUUGGAUAAGCCCUCCGUGAAAUCUCCAGGCUUAACCUGGAAAGUGCAGAGGGGACUGUUCAGCUAGAGGAUGGGAGAGGAGCGCGGAAUUCCCGGUGUAGCGGUGAAAUGCGUAGAGAUCGGGAGGAAGGCCGGUGGCGAAGGCGGGUCUCUGGGCAACAACUGACGCUGAGGAGCGAAAGCGUGGGGAGCGAAUGGG